GGGAGCCUUUUUUCCUUUUUUUUUUUUUCCCGGGGAGUCGGCCUCGGGGCUCUGCUCUCCUACCUCAGUCUGCCCUACCCUGGAAUGGGGAAAAUGCGGACAUGCCACUCAGUCCGGCCGCGAACAGUGCUCCAGAACUCAGAGAGUUUUCCAGACGGGUGGAGAUCGCGUUCCCUGCCCGCCGAGGUCCCAUCGCUUCCCUGCUGGGAAGACAAAUGAGGCGCUUUAGCCGUCUCCACGGCCAGCCCCUCCCUCAUAACCCGAGAUUCUUUGUGGGCUCUUAGUCCAUAGCUGCCUUUGAGGUGGUGUAGACCUUGCUAACCAGGACGGCCCAGUAGGCAGAGCUCAUUUUUAUUCCUGUCUGCAAUCGUGCAAAAACGCCUCUUAUGGAAAAGCCAGAGCGCCAGGAGUCAGCAAAACACACUAAAGAUUGGGCAGUCACUGGGGAGAACGUGAGUAAAAGCACAGGAACAGCAAAGCGUUCAGGAACGUUCGAGGCUGACGCAACCGGCGCAGGAAGGUGGUGUGUGGUGGGAGAGUGGGAGGAGACAGUGGAAAGUUUAGACUUGCUUCUGUAAGUGAUAAGAAGUCAUCAGAUAUUUUCAAGCAGGAGAGGAAAAUAAUCUCUCUGUUUCGCAAAGUUAACUCUCAUGGCAACAGAGCAGAGUAGCGGGGGGAUGGGGGCUGGGAGAUGUUGGGAAGCUAUUGUUACCACUCUGGUGAAGAGUCAUGGGACCUCAAAAGCUGGGAUAGUCACGGUGGGAAUGGAAAGGAAGGGCACAAGCUGAGAGGCAUUUGGGAGGAGAAUCAAUAGCACUUUAUUGACUGGAUGUGUGAGAUGAGUGAGGACAGCAAUCAGAAGAGGACUUUGAGGUUUCUAGCCUGAGUGGCUGGAAGGACACCACUUCCCCUACCUGAAAUAGGUAGCAAAAAGGAGAGAGAAAGAGAGAAGCAGAGGGAUUUUGCAAAGGGAAUAGGAGUUCAGUUUUUGACAUGUGGCAUUUGAAUUGCAAGAAGUACAUCCCUGUGGAUGUAAUACCCAGUAGACAGUUGGGAAUUAGGAUCUGGUGUCGAGAAGAAAAGUAGAGAUGAGAUCCAAAGGGUUUAUAGUGGAUCGGGAGAGAAAUUGAUGACCUAAAGAGAAAUUAUAGAAUAAGAAGAUUUGGGCAGGGCACGGUGGCUCAUGCCUGUAAUCCCAGCAUUUUGGGAGACCAAGGUAGGAGGAUUGCUUGAGCCCAGGAGUUUGAGACCAGCCUGGGCAACAUGGUGAGACCCCGACUCUACAAAAACUGCAAAAAUUAGCCGGGUGUGGUGACACAUACCUGUAAUUCCAGCUACUUGGGAGGCUGAGGUGGGGGGAUCACCUGAGCCUGGGGAGGUCUAGGCUGCAGUGAGCUGAGAUAGUGCCACUGCACUCCAACCUGGGCAACAUAGCAAGAGCAAGACCCUGUCUCAAAAGUAAAAAAAAAAAAA
rnacentral:lncRNA from 1 species